AACAGAACCCUCAAGCGUUACCCGGAUUUAUUGGGCGUAAAGCGUCUGUAGCCGGUUUGGAAAGUCUGUAAUUAAAUACCAAGAGCUCAACUUUUGGAAUGUUACAGAAACUCCCAGACUAGAGGGCAUUAGGGGCCGAUGGAACUCUUGGAGGAGGGGUGAAAUCCGUUGAUAUCAAGAGGAACACCAAAAGCGAAGGCAUUCGGCUGGGGUGACCCUGACGGUGAGAGACGAAAGCGUGGGGAGCGAAAAGG
rnacentral:misc_RNA from 1 species